rnacentral:rRNA from 1 species
UACGUAGGGGGCAAGCGUUAUCCGGAUUUACUGGGUGUAAAGGGAGCGUAGACGGCCAGACAAGUCUGAAGUGAAAAUCCAGCGCUUAACGUUGGAAGUGCUUUGGAAACUGCCGGGCUGGAGUGCAGGAGGAGCAGGCGGAAUUCCUAGUGUAGCGGUGAAAUGCGUAGAUAUUAGGAGGAACACCAGUGGCGAAGGCGGCCUGCUGGACUGCAACUGACGUUGAGGCUCGAAGGCGUGGGGAGCAAACAGG